CUGAAGAGGCCCACGGUCCAGGAGGAGAGAGAGACCCAACGUGGAAGAAGAGGGCAGACGGGGGCUGCUCUGCCCCAGCUGAAGUGAAUCCCGAGGAACAGCGUGCCCGUGCCGGCUCAAAUAAGGGCUCGAGGUGCAGGUGUGCAUGAGACCGGCCGGGGGAUCCAUUGCCAGACGCCUUCUCGGCCUUGGCCACCCGACUCGGGAAGCCACAGGGUCAGUUCAGUUUGUAAAAGCGUUGGAUGAAGACUAAACGCCCUCCCAAAGGACCGUCCCCGCCAGUCUGAUUCUCCCCUAAGGCCCAGAGGGCUCAGGUGCAGGACACCAGGUGCCAGCCAACAAAUGCUGAAGCAGCUCAGCAGGUGUAUCGCAAGACCUCUCCUUUCCCUGGGUUGUAAAGACAGACAUAAGGACACUCUCAGCUCAUGUUCGGCUCUUCUUGAUCAUCAGGAAGUCGUCCUGCAGUGCUUGCAGCAUCCUUUAUCUCAAGAAACUUUCUUUCCAUCUCACCAUGCUCAAUAAAGUCUUCUUUUUUUUUCACCCUC